GUCUCAAAGAUUAAGCCAUGCAUGUCUAAGUACAAGCCUCACUAAGGUGAAACCGCGAAUGGCUCAUUAAAUCACACCUAAUCUACUGGAUAGUAGUCAGUUACUCGGAUACCUGCGGUAAUUCUGCAGCUAAUACGUGCAAACAAGCCUCGACUUCGGAAGAGGCGCUUUUAUUAGAUCAAAACCGAUCGGCUUCGGCCGUCCUUUUGGUGAUUCUGAAUAACUUUGAGCUGAUCGCAUGGCCUCGAGCCGGCGACAUAUCCUUCGAAGGUGUGCCCUAUCAUCUGUCGACUGUGGCAUAGACGCCCACAGUGGAUUUGACGGGUAACGGGGAAUCAGGGUUCGAUUCCGGAGAGGGAGCCUUAAAAACGGCUACCACAUCCAAGGAAGGCAGCAGGCACGCAAAUUACCCAAUGACCGAAGGUCGAGGUAGUGACGAAAAAUAACGAUACGGGACUCAUCCGAGGCCCCGUAAUCGGAAUGAGUACACUUUAAAACCUUUCCAACGAGGAUCUAUUGGAGGGCAAGUCUGGUG
rnacentral:rRNA from 1 species